GAUGAACGCUAGCGAUAGGCCUAACACAUGCAAGUCGAGGGGCAUCACAUGAAGUAGCAAUACGGAUGGUGGCGACCGGCGCACGGGUGAGUAACACGUAUGCAACCUGCCUUCAACAAGGGGAUAACCCGUUGAAAGACGGACUAAUACCCUAUAACACAGGGGUCCCGCAUGGGAAUAUUUGUUAAAGGACAACCGGUUGAAGAUGGGCAUGCGUUCCAUUAGCUAGUUGGCGGGGUAACGGCCCACCAAGGCAACGAUGGAUAGGGGAACUGAGAGGUUUAUCCCCCACACUGGUACUGAGACACGGACCAGACUCCUACGGGAGGCAGCAGUGAGGAAUAUUGGUCAAUGGACGCAAGUCUGAACCAGCCACGUCGCGUGAAGGAAGACGGCCCUACGGGUUGUAAACUUCUUUUAUACGGGAAUAAAGUGCCCCACGCGUGGGGUUUUGCAUGUACCGUAUGAAUAAGGAUCGGCUAACUCCGUGCCAGCAGCCGCGGUAAGUACG
rnacentral:rRNA from 1 species